UUCCAAACUUUGUUCUAAAGUUUUAUUUAAAAAAAGUGAUUAAACUCUGUUUUUAAACCUCAUUUAAUUCCAGUUUUAAUUUUUGCUCAUUUUUUAAGAUAUUUAUUUUACAUAUUUGAUUUAGAAAAUUUAGACCAAACAUUGAAUUUUAGUAUUCCAUGACUAUAAAAUAGCAAUAUCAGGGUUAUUUUAAGUUGAAUAAUUUCUACUUUUAUAGCAAAUAUUUUUAUUGGUCUGUAUGGCUGUAUUUGUGAAAGAAUGAUCGACUCAUUGUUUUGUUGUUUUGAGUUAAUUCUAUAAGAACUGAUGUUUUGAAACAGGGUUACUUGCAGAUUUUAUUUGUAAUGUUUUUACCCUUUUCAAUGAAUAUUCAAUUAUUUGUUUUGCUAUUCCAGAAAAAAAGAAUGUUUAAUUUUAUUGGACUAUAACAAGUUGUCCACUUUGUAUAAUAAAUGUCAGAAUAAGAUGUUAUACAAUUUAGAUUCUCAUUAUUUUACGCCAGUAAAAUUAUUAAAAGGGAUAUAGGGGAAAGAUACAGAAAAACAUAGAACUAUCAGUGUAGUCAAAUUAUAGUUUUAACAAUGAUAUUUCUGAUAAGAGUUGAACAAAUAAUAAAAAGGGUUUUGUAACUUUUCAGUCUAAAAAAAAUUAAUUUGCAUAGCUACUGGCCUACUAUGUAUUAACCAAAAUGUUAGGGGCUUUAAACUGUUACUUAUGAUUUAGAUACAAAUAGUUUAACAGUUUAUAGCAAGAGCGGAUCAUUUCAUAUUUCAUGGAUUCUAUUUUAGUUAAUAUCAAGUAAUUUGAUAGUUUCAGAUAUUUUUUAGUUUACCGCCAACAAAGUUUGCAUGAUUGUAUAUGGUGUAUGAUUGUGUUCCUGGCUAUUGAAAAGAACUAUUUCAGAUGUCAUGCACAAACCCAAUUAAAUUAUUUUGUCCAGUGACACAGUUAUUAUUUUUUUUCUAAUACUUUUUUGCAGAUGUAAGGAUUUUUUUUUAAGGGUAAUGAGAAUCUAAACAAAAAGAUUUUUUAAUAAACAACGAAAAAACAGUUAUUUUAUUAAGUGUCUAGCAAUGACAAUGUAGAUAAAUAUGUUAUAUUUACAAUAUUUGUGUAUCAAGACAAAUAAAAC
rnacentral:lncRNA from 1 species